rnacentral:lncRNA from 1 species
AGUAUUUGAUUGUAUGAUUUGUGUGUGUGUGUGUGUGUGUGUGUGUGUGUGUUUUUAGAUGGGUUCAAUUCCUCCAGAAGAACAAGGCAAUCACCACAGUCAACCACUACACCUUGACUAUUGGUGCAUUUCUUAAAUAUUCUGAGGAGACCCCUCCAUCUGGCUGCCGGCUGACCGUGAACCAAUGGAGGGGGAUCAACCGGUUGAUGAAGGGCAUUAGCAAGUCCAUGAGACGACCAGUUUCCCUUCACCAGAUAAAGGUGAAGGACAACAAGGAAGGCAAGGUGGUGUCCAAAAAGAGCCUGCUGCAGUGCCAGUCUCUUGCCAAGGCCAAAAUCCCUCAAGUGCUGAGUAAGUUUUUCUCAAUCUGUGAUGUCACUGUUUUUACACACUUAUAGACGUCAGAGAUGUAUAGAAUGCAUUAUGGAGUGGGAUUAUGAAGCUGCCUUUUUUAUUUUCAUGUUCACAGAAACAUUGGAAGAAACAAGGACACAGAGGAAUCAGUACAGGUUUUAUGGGUACCUGUGUGCCUACUUUACAUCCAUAUACGGCCACAGACCAGGCCUAUAUAAAAACAUGUUGGUGAAAGAGGUGGAGGAGGCAAAAUGUGACCAGUCUGGGGUGUACCUGAUCAAUGUAAGUCUAUGAAAUACAGCUGGCUGUGUUUAUUUGUUUGUUUGCUUGGUUGGUUAUCUUUGGAAACAAUUGCAGUCGCAGGAGCGUAAUGUGUUUUUUUGUGUUUUUUCUCUGUUCAAUUUCUAUUAGGUGGGGGAACACAAAACAAAUCGGGAGUACGGCAUGGUCCAGAUGUCGCUGACAAAGGAGGAGUACAGCUGGUUUUCCGACUUCCUCAAAUUCAAGCACUGUCUCUUAGGGGGAAAGAAGGCCCAGCACUUCUUUUUCAAUUCAACAAACACUCAGAUGAAGAACCUGCCUGCCUACCUGAGGGAGGUGUGGAAGGAGAUGGGUCUGCCCGAAUGUCCUUCAUUCACUGACCUGAGGACCUCCAUUGUCACUCAUGUAAAAAACAUGCUCCCAAAGGUUGACAGGGAAAGGGUGGCCAACUUCAUGUGCCACAACAUCCAGACGGCAGACAAAUAUUAUGCCAUGAAUUUAAAUCCAACCCAAGCAAAUGAAACCAGGGCACUCUUUGAGGCUGCACUGAAGGGGGAAGAUAACACAGUCGCCGCAGAGAACCAGCCCUCCACCUCAGGAGAAAGAAAGCAGAAGGUGAGAGAGGAUGCCUCCCUCUCCGACGGGAGCACCACCCCUGAAGAGACCAAGGUGAUGUACCAGGAGUCUGGCACGUCCGCCGGUGACUCGGAAGAGGAGGAAGAGGAUGAAGAUGAGGAACAGAUGGCCAGACAACUUCCAGUAAGAUCAGCUAUUCUGACAGGACACAUUUGA